AAAGCGUCUCGUCAGGAGCUUUGGGUCUUCGCAAAUAACAACAAUAAAUGAAUUGUUGAAAAUCUCUAUUUGCAUUCAAUCAUAUUUUGACAAUGGCGAAUAUAAGUGUAUUUCUUCAUUUUGUGAUUGCAUUGACGUUCCUUACAAUUCUAUUCUCCUUGGAAGUGACUGCGAGAAUCAUCCCGACCCGGGGAAUUUCUGAUAUAGAUACACUGCUCAGCUUUGUCAAUUCUGGAGGAAAGUGAACAUCGAUUAUCAUCAUGCAUCUUCAAUGUUCUUGUAUUAUUCUGAAUCUUAUAACUGAAUCUUAUAACUACGGAAAAUAUAUUUGUAUGUAUGUAUGUGUGAAUAUGGUAAUUACUGGAUUCAAAUAAAUCAUCACAUUAAAAACUAAAUACUGAAAAAAAAUCAUUUUCGCAUACUUAAUAUGACUAAUUUUGUCGCAAGAAAAUCAUUUCCUUAUUUCUUAUUUAUGGUCAAUAUUUUUGUCAAG